UACAGAGGUCCCGAGCGUUGUUCGGAAUUACUGGGCGUAAAGGGCUCGUAGGCGGCCAACUAAGUCAGACGUGAAAUCCCUCGGCUUAACCGGGGAACUGCGUCUGAUACUGGAUGGCUUGAAUCCGGGAGAGGGAUGCGGAAUUCCAGGUGUAGCGGUGAAAUGCGUAGAUAUCUGGAGGAACACCGGUGGCGAAGGCGGCAUCCUGGACCAAUAUUGACGCUGAGGAGUGAAAGCCAGGGGAGCAAACGGG
rnacentral:rRNA from 1 species